UCAUGUAGAUUUUGAUUCUCCAACUCAAAGAAAGGGAUAUUACUCAAGCUUUUAGGACAGCUUGGAGUGGUCAAGCCUCAGCACUCAGAAGACAGAGGAAAGCAGGAAAGGAGGAACUCUCUGCAGUUGUCCAGUGACAUCUGGCCACAUCUCCACGGCUUUGCCUGAUUCCACCUGCCUAAAAUACCCUUUCUUCUCCCUCUCCAGCAAACCUCUAAAUAUCUACGAUGUGAUCUCAUGAAAGAAGCCUCCCAGCCUGGGUUCAGGGUUCUUCACAUGACACUGUACUUUUCAUAUUAUGAGCUAAAUAUGAGACAGAUUCUCCCCCUGGAUUGAUGGACUCACUCAUAUGGAGCCAAUCAUCCUACCAAGAAUAACUAGAAGAGCUAGAUGAAAACCAAUCAAAUGAAAGAAACCUGUUUGAAGAGACUCCCAAGACAGCAAGGACUUCAAGAGUAAAGGUCUUCAUGAGAAGGAAAAUUCAUAAGGGGGAACAUGACAUUUUGCACUGCUUUUCCCUUUGGAACAUUUGGAGCAUUUGCCAAUUUACCGUAUUGGCAAUAAAACCAUACAGAAAAGUGACUUUGUUGGAAACUCCCGUUAGAUUUUUUGGAUAAGAUAGUUAUACUAAUGAAGUAACUCCAGCAAGAAACCAAGGCACCUGGCUGACUAUUUCUUACUGGUCGAUGGGAGUGGCUUGAACUCUAUUUAAUCCUUCCCAACCAAAGAGUCUUCUUCUGGGAAU
rnacentral:lncRNA from 12 species